GAUGAAGAACGCAGCGAAAUGCGAUAAGUAAUGUGAAUUGCAGAAUUCAGUGAAUCAUCGAAUCUUUGAACGCACAUUGCGCCCGCUAGUAAUCUGGCGGGCAUGCCUGUUCGAGCGUCAUUUCAACCAUCAAGCCCCCAGGCCUAGGCUUGUGCUGGGGCCCUGCGGCUGCCCGCAGGCCCUGAAAACCAGUGGCGGGCUCGCUAGUCACACCGAGCGCAGUAGCACAUCUCGCUCAGGGCGUGCGGCGGGCUCCUGCCGUGAAACCCCCCACUGUAACCCCAAAGGUUGACCUCGGAUCAGGUAGGAAUACCCGCUGAACUUAAGCAUAUCAAUAAGCGGAGGA
rnacentral:misc_RNA from 1 species